rnacentral:rRNA from 1 species
GAAUGCUGACAUAAGUAACGAUAAAGCGGGUGAAAAGCCCGCUCGCCGGAAGACCAAGGGUUCCUGUCCAACGUUAAUCGGGGCAGGGUGAGUCGACCCCUAAGGCGAGGCCGAAAGGCGUAGUCGAUGGGAAACGGGUUAAUAUUCCCGUACUUGGUGUUACUGCGAAGGGGGGACGGAGAAGGCUAUGUUGGCCGGGCGACGGUUGUCCCGGUUUAAGCGUGUAGGUGUGUGUUCCAGGUAAAUCCGGUUCACUUUAACACUGAGGCGUGACGACGAGGCACUACGGUGCUGAAGCAACAAAUGCCCUGCUUCCAGGAAAAGCCUCUAAGCAUCAGGUAACAUCAAAUCGUACCCCAAACCGACACAGGUGGUCAGGUAGAGAAUACCAAGGCGCUUGAGAGAACUCGGGUGAAGGAACUAGGCAAAAUGGUGCCGUAACUUCGGGAGAAGGCACGCUGACACGUAGGUGAAGUGAUUUACUCAUGGAGCUGAAGUCAGUCGAAGAUACCAGCUGGCUGCAACUGUUUAUUAAAAACACAGCACUGUGCAAACACGAAAGUGGACGUAUACGGUGUGACGCCUGCCCGGUGCCGGAAGGUUAAUUGAUGGGGUCAGCGCAAGCGAAGCUCCUGAUCGAAGCCCCGGUAAACGGCGGCCGUAACUAUAACGGUCCUAAGGUAGCGAAAUUCCUUGUCGGGUAAGUUCCGACCUGCACGAAUGGCGUAAUGAUGGCCAGGCUGUCUCCACCCGAGACUCAGUGAAAUUGAACUCGCUGUGAAGAUGCAGUGUACCCGCGGCAAGACGGAAAGACCCCGUGAACCUUUACUAUAGCUUGACACUGAACAUUGAGCCUUGAUGUGUAGGAUAGGUGGGAGGCUUUGAAGCGUGGACGCCAGUCUGCGUGGAGCCAACCUUGAAAUACCACCCUUUAAUGUUUGAUGUUCUAACGUGGACCCGUUACCCGGGUUGCGGACAGUGUCUGGUGGGUAGUUUGACUGGGGCGGUCUCCUCCUAAAGAGUAACGGAGGAGCACGAAGGUUGGCUAAUCCUGGUCGGACAUCAGGAGGUUAGUGCAAUGGCAUAAGCCAGCUUGACUGCGAGCGUGACGGCGCGAGCAGGUGCGAAAGCAGGUCAUAGUGAUCCGGUGGUUCUGAAUGGAAGGGCCAUCGCUCAACGGAUAAAAGGUACUCCGGGGAUAACAGGCUGAUACCGCCCAAGAGUUCAUAUCGACGGCGGUGUUUGGCACCUCGAUGUCGGCUCAUCACAUCCUGGGGCUGAAGUAGGUCCCAAGGGUAUGGCUGUUCGCCAUUUAAAGUGGUACGCGAGCUGGGUUUAGAACGUCGUGAGACAGUUCGGUCCCUAUCUGCCGUGGGCGCUGGAGAACUGAGGGGGGCUGCUCCUAGUACGAGAGGACCGGAGUGGACGCAUCACUGGUGUUCGGGUUGUCAUGCCAAUGGCACUGCCCGGUAGCUAAAUGCGGAAGAGAUAAGUGCUGAAAGCAUCUAAGCACGAAACUUGCCCCGA